UCCUAGUUUCCUAGGCAGUCCCACCAGAGUGCUCCCUUGCGGGUUAGCAACUGGCGGCAAGAGUUGCGCUCGUUAAAGGACUUAACCCAACAUCUCACGACACGAGCUGACGACAGCCAUGCAGCACCUGUGUAUCUGUUCAAGCUUUCGCCUGAAAAACUCUAUUUCUAGAGCGGUCAAAUACAUGUCAAGUCUAGGUAAGGUUCCUCGCGUAGUGUCGAAUUAAACCACAUGUUCCACCGCUUGUGCGGACCCCCGUCAAUUCCUUUGAGUUUUAAUCUUGCGACCGUACUCCCCAGGCGGAUCACUUAACGCGUUAGCUACGACACCGAUCUUGCUAAGCAAAAUCGACGACUAGUGAUCAUCGUUUACGGCGUGGACUAC
rnacentral:misc_RNA from 1 species